UUAAUUACCUGGUCCCUGGCCUCGUUGAUCACCGAGGACGAGCCCCCAGGGUGAGGCGCGGGCAUUGCACUUGGCUCGCGUUAACCCCUGCCACUGCACAAAAUUGGGGAAGAUGGGGCAUGAAAAUUGCUUAAGUCCGCUACAAAGCAAG
rnacentral:snRNA from 1 species